AUUGAACGCUGGCGGCAUGCCUUACACAUGCAAGUCGAACGGCAGCGCGGGAGCAAUCCUGGCGGCGAGUGGCGAACGGGUGAGUAAUAUAUCGGAACGUGCUCAGUAGUGGGGGAUAGCCCGGCGAAAGCCGGAUUAAUACCGCAUGAGACCUGAGGGUGAAAGCGGGGGAUCGCAAGACCUCGCGCUAUUGGAGCGGCCGAUAUCAGAUUAGCUAGUUGGUGGGGUAAAGGCCUACCAAGGCAACGAUCUGUAGUUGGUCUGAGAGGACGACCAGCCACACUGGGACUGAGACACGGCCCAGACUCCUACGGGAGGCAGCAGUGGGGAAUUUUGGACAAUGGGCGCAAGCCUGAUCCAGCAAUGCCGCGUGCAGGAAGAAGGC
rnacentral:rRNA from 1 species